rnacentral:rRNA from 1 species
CCUACGGGGGGCGGCAGUGAGGAAUAUUGGGCAAUGGCCGUAAGGCUGACCCAGCAACGCCGCGUGGAGGAAGAAGGCCGUAAGGUUGUAAACUCCUGUUAGAGGGGACGAAAAAGCGGGGCAGCACCCUGCAUUGACUGUACCCUCAGAGAAAGCCCCGGCUAACUACGUGCCAGCAGCCCCGGUC